UGGGUUUACGGUGUGUUUUGUUUUGUUUUGAUUUGGGCUUUCACAUGUUAUUGGUUGGCCCAAUCUCUAAAUGGAAUGACGUAAGUGAUGCGUUGUUUUUACCGAUUCCUCUUCUCGCUAGCACAUUAAUUAGUGAACCCUGUUUCUUAAAAAAGGUUUAACCAUGUUAAUCGUACAUCUUUCAUGGGAAUAACCUCAAUCAUGAGGCGUUUAGGUGAGAGGAAACGACGAGAUAGCGAUUUCUUUAGGUUACACCGUGAUUGGAAAACCCUAGCUUAGAUCCUCUAGACUCAAUCCAAGCCUAAAGGUUCGUCUCUUCACCUUCUCCUUAGAUCUGCUUCAUAAUCAUCUUUCUCGAUUCGCCGAUGCUUUGAAUGGUUGACACUAGGCAGAUUUUUGUAGAUUUUCGAUUCGUUGCACCGUUUCUCAAUACCAAUUGAGAUUCGUGUUCUAAUAUUGCUGAAAUCGAUUACGAGGUCUCUUAUCAAAGGUUGUGCAGAACCCAAGAAAGUUUAGAUCACUGACAGUGACCUAGGGGAUUCGUUUGAGAUGUCAAGCUUUCACGUGGGAGGAAAGGUAGUGGACAAGGUCGACUUGUGUAGGAAGAAACACUGGGCGUGGCCUUUGGAUGUUUGGCCGUUUGCUAUCCUCUAUGCUACGUGGUUGGCUACAAUCGUGCCUAACGUAGAUUUCAUCGAUGCUAUGAUCGGUUUUGGUGAUCUUCUUGCUUCUCACAUCUUAGUCUUGCUUUUCUCUAUGUGGUCUGUGGAUUUCAAGUGUUUUAUCCAGUUUAGCAAGGUUAACAGUAUCAUCCAGGCAGAUGCGUUUAAAGUCACCCUAGCCAAGUUUUCUGGUUCUAAAAAAGUUGUGCCUCUUCAUUUUCGUAGCCAAAUGACUGGUUCGUCAUCCUCAGAAGACAUGGAAUAAAUUUUUUUUGACUUCAGAAAGCAGCGUUUUAUGUACUCAAAAGAGUUAGGAGCCUUUUCCAAGCUUCCUUACCCCACAAAGAAAACAUUUGGUCAUUAUCUAAAAUAUACUGGCCAUGGUACAUAAGAUAAAGUUGCAACAGCCACUGAGAAGUGGGGAAGGAACGUGUAGGUUCGAAGAGAGAAUACUUUAAUAAUUCAAGGCAAGCUAAAGUAUCUGCUUAACCAUGCGAUCUCAAGUUAAAAUCCCUGUUAAUUUUCAGAACCACACUUGGUACGUAAAUUCGUCUAAACUCUUUGAUUUUUAAUUGGAUAUCACAAACUGUCAUCACUGGAUUACCAUCACCUCGUUGAGUCAACUUUGAUGAAGUGAAAAAAAAAACUUUGAUGAAGUGAAGAAGUUCAUAAUAUAUAUAUACAGUCUGCAUGUAUAUGGUUUCGUAUAUGCGAUUUGUUGACACUUGCCCAACUUAAAGCUUGUGAUUGAAAAAAGAAGAAGGUGGGUGCUCACAUUGAUUUCACUUUUAAGCCUAAUAUGUGAAAUCUUAGGACUCUUAAUAUGUCAUUGUUGUUGUCCUUCGUCUAAUUUUCUCUCAUCUAUAUGUACAAUUUUACAGACAUACAUUAAUUUGCCGACGAAAUCUACCGCAGACUAUUUUUAUACUUUAAUAUAAGGUGAAAAUUCAGACU